rnacentral:tRNA from 1 species
UCUGGUUUAGCAUAUGGUUUAAUGCGGUGGAUUGUAAAUCCAUAUAAAGUUUUAAACUA